AUUGAACGCUGGCGGCAUGCCUUACACAUGCAAGUCGAACGGUAACGGGCCUUCGGGUGCCGACGAGUGGCGCACGGGUGAGUAAUACAUCGGAACGUGCCCGAUCGUGGGGGAUAACGAGGCGAAAGCUUUGCUAAUACCCAUACGAUCUACGGAUGAAAGCAGGGGACCGCAAGGCCUUGCGCGGACGGAGCGGCCGAUGGCAGAUUAGGUAGUUGGUGGGAUAAAAGCUUACCAAGCCGACGAUCUGUAGCUGGUCUGAGAGGAUGAUCAGCCACACUGGGACUGAGACACGGCCCAGACUCCUACGGGAGGCAGCAGUGGGGAAUUUUGGACAAUGGGCGCAAGCCUGAUCCAGCCAUGCCGCGUGCAGGAUGAAGGCCUUCGGGUUGUAAACUGCUUUUGUACGGAACGAAAAGCCUUCUUUUAAUACAGGAGGGUCAUGACGGUACCGUAAGAAUAAGCACCGGCUAACUACGUG
rnacentral:rRNA from 1 species